GAGAGGUUGAAUGGAACGCUGAUAAUAGGAGCAGUAUGAGAUGACAGAUCUUCCAAAUGUGCUUGGAGCUCUAGAAAAGUGCAGUAGAGUGGGAGGAACGAGGAGCAGCUGUGACAGCCCCGCAACAGGUGAAAGGAAAGGCAUUUCCAAAUUCUGUCUCCACAACCCCAGUAUGCCAAAGCAGCUUCAGCAGAACCAGCCGCCCAGCUGCCCCGCCAGCAUUCCUCCUGCAGGGAGGGAGAAGCAUCAACCAUCUUCGAAGCAACUGAUCAUACUCCACACAUUAAGUCUGCGAUGGGACAAUAUACAGUUCAUACCGAGAUGAAUGAAGCUGAGGCAAAAGGCAGAACUACCUAGGUGAUUUGCAAAGCCUAGGAUUCUUAAGUACAGAGCUUGGGUGUUUCUGCCUCCAGCUCCUGAACUGGAACCAAUCUCAACACCAGUCACUUAAAGAGAGCAGCCUGCCCUCCCAGAUCAGGUAAAACCCCAGAUUAAAGAUCAGUUAAAAGCUGCUGCAAAACAAUGUGUUCUGAUCAAUACCGUAUGACUCCUGAUGAAACUUCCCCCCUCACAAGCUAAAAACCUUUACUGUUUGAAGAUACUGAAUUCCCACCAAUGUUUCCAAUGGAAAGACAGAAAAGAAAAAAAAAGUAUUUUAGGCAAACAGGAUGUUUACCAGACAUCCUUAAAAAAUUCUCGAGUAUUACUUUACACGAAGCUGUCCUAUCAAAUUCACUGUUUCAUUUCUGGCACCUGUCACUAUAAAGAUUAUGUUUGUCACCUCUUCUAACCCGAGACUGACAGCUGCUCUAGAAAUGCUUAUAGAAGUUACUGCUGCUUACCUGGAAGCUACUAAACCCCAACUUCCCCCCCCCAGCUGAUACAUAUUAAACAAACCACAUGUCACCUCACCGCAGUACACAAAAAAGCUGACAGCUUUGAACUACCCCUGCAAAAGCCUGAGAGCUUGCUUCUAAAUGACACAGGAGACCAAAGUUACUGCAACCAUCACUGAGAACAGUAUGUCACAAUUUAUGGGCACUGGCUAAACAAUCAUAUAAGACUUAAAAACUCUUCACACAUGCCUGAAAAAGCUCGCCCGUCCACACUCCGAACUGCUCCACCAGAACUGCUAUUCUUUGACAGGCUAGCCUGACACUUAAAAUUACAGUUUAUCAACGGUAUUAUUCCAGAUUACUUUGAAGCCAAAUAGUUUUACAGUAGUCUGCGUGAACUGACAGCCAGGCAUUUUCACCUCACAGUAAUAUGGGCAGCCAGUGUUUACCUUCCAUACCUUCCCUUUACACCCCACCUUUACCCAGUUUUGUUUCCUGGAUUACCAUGCUUUCUCUGCAUCGGUCCUGCACGGUUACCAAUGUAUAAGCCCUCAUAGCAAAAACAUUUCAGCUGUCAUGCCAACUGCCUUUAAAUAUACAACAAUUGUCUACCAAGAUCCAAAUCCAACAGUUCUCCCAAUUUAUGCCCAUUUUAUAUUUAUGUUGCAGGCACUGGGGUAAAAUAGCAUCCAUUCAAUGACACCAAGAACUGAACAGCAUAAAGCUAAUUAUUCCUAUGAGUAUACGAGUAAGCAGCGUAAAUUUUCAGGCUUGGAGGAAUUAGUGUAACCUGUGUUCUAGUGAAAUAAUCUAUGCCUUAAGAUCCUUUAUUGAUCACAGACUAUUAGUCUUUCCAUUGUUCUAGUGCUCAUUCGUGUCAUUUAACGCUACUGGAGACAGAUGUCUUAGUCUAGUUUUCACGUAUAGAACUACACAGAAACCAGGAAAAGAAACUUUUUUUUUACAUCUAUAAACACUGCAAGAAAUUUUCAGCCGAUUCCCAACUUUUACUAUGCUUUAAGUUUUAUUAGGGACUUGCCAGACAGAUUUCUUCUGAAUUACUAGCCACAUCUGACAGACCUAUGGCAUCUGCUUCAGAUGACAGUGUCAGUUAUAAAAUAACUAGUAUUUUACAGUGAAGGAUUUCACAGAAUGGUCAGGGUUGGAAGGGAUCUCUGGAGAUCAUCUAGUCCAACCCCCCUGCUAAAGCACAUUCACCCAGAGCAGGUAGCACAGAGCCAUGUCCAGGCAGGUCUGGAAUGCCUCUGCAGAAGGAGACUCCACAGCCUCUCUGGGGAGCCUGUUCUGUCACCCUCAAAGUAAAAAAAGUUUUUCCUCAUAUUCAGGUGGAACUUCCUGUGUUUCAGUUGGUGCCCGUCACCCCUUGUCCUGUCACUGGGUACCACUGAAAAGAGCCUGGCCCCAUCCUCUCGACACCUGUCCCUGCUUCAACACAUUGCUAAGAUGCCCUCUUACUCUUCCCCAGGCUACACAGGCCCAGCUCUCUCAGCCUGUCCUCGUAAGGGAGAUGUCCCAGUCCCCUGAUCAUCUUUGUAGCCCUCCGCUGGGCCCUCCCAGUAGUUCCCUGUCUCUUUUGACCUGGGGAGCCCAGAGCUGGACCCAGCACUCCAGAUGCGGCCUCGCCAAGGCAGAGCAGAGGGGGAGGAUAAGCUCCCUCGACCUGCUGGCCACAGUCCUCCUAAUGCACCCCAGGAUGCUACUUUGACCUUCUUGGCCACCAGGGCACACUGCUGGCUCAUGGUCAGCUUGCUGUCCACCAGGGCUCCCAGGCCCUUCCUUUGCAGAGCUGCCUUCCAGCAGGUCAACCCCAGCCUGUACUGGUGCAGGGGGUUGUUCCUCCCCAGGUGCAGGACCCUACACUUGCCUCUGCUGAACUUCAUGAGGUUCCCCUCCACCCAGCUCUCUGGCCUGUCCAGGUCUCGCUGAAUGGCAGCGCAGCCCUCUGGUGUGUCAGCCACUGCUCACAGCUUUUGAAACAAAAUGGCAAGAGAGAACAACUGAAGGGAGGCUGCUGAGUACAAUUUAAAGAGUUAUUUAGAACAUUUCCAGUGAAUGUUUAAACCAUUAGGUUACCCAUUUAAUUAAUGCCAAUUCCUUUUUGCAUAACUAUCAAAUCUAACAGGACUGGUAUAGUACAUCUGCACACCUAUAUACUGACUAGUUGUCUUUUAUUUGCCAGCUUGUAGUUCCAUGCCUCCAUAGCAAUCAGACCUUACACUGCCAUGUUCUGCUCAAAGCCAAACUUUUCAGUUAGCAUCCAUGAUCUUUAUAUAAAAACUAUGCGCAGUGCAACUGAGUAAAUGUUUAUACACACAUUAAUGCGUUUAUACUCAUUUUUUCAACCAAUACAGAAGAUGUGUGUGUCUGAGCAGACAGGGGAAAAAACAAUACCCCUAAGCAAUGCUACAGAUCAAGUUUUUCCGCACAUCCUGAAAAAGACUCAUGUGCUUAAAGCCGUUGAAAGUUUAAGUUAAAUUUGAAUAUGCUGACUAGAAUAGUGUUGUCAAACUCAAACCCCAUUUAAACACAGCAAGAAGUCCUAAAAAAAUUAUUCCAGAAAAACUAUAGUUUAAGUGUUUUCCUCGUUACAUGUUUGUUAAAUCUUAGAGCUUUAGCUUGACACUUUGUUCUCAAUAGUCUCAAAUAAAAAACAUUAAAAGAGAUUUUAUUCAAUAUAAGACUUCUAGGAUUGAGCUGGUCCCUGGGUUCUUAAGCUAUUUCAGGAUGAUAAAAGCAAUAAUGAGUCUUUUAACAGAGCUGGACAGGACAACUUACUCCAGUGUUUUCCCAAAACCUUCAUUUUUCACAUCAAGUUCAUAUCAAAAGUGUUUUUCCCUUCAUAUGUUUUAUAGUAAUUAGUAUCUACUACAUACUUUUUAGACUAUCUGUGGUUUUGGUAGGUAGAUUACUCACCAAGGUAAUUACUAAUUAAGCUUUUUGUUUUGGUAAAAGUUCUUAGAUUCUUUCAUUGUCUCCUUAUUAGCUCGUUACCCAGCUCCUCCCCUUGCACUCCCACUUGAGCCCCAAGCCCACAUGUAACUUCUGCAGGAAGCCUGCACCAGACACCCAGGCACUGCUUCAAGGACAACACACCUGCCGCUCCCCACUUCACAAAGACAAGGUUUUUAAGUCUCAGCACGACCUCCGGCAUGCAUAUAAAACAUCUACAAUUCACCCAUCGUUCUCCCAUUAAAAUACACACUUUCUAAUUAUCAAAAAUUAUCACAAGACAACUAUUACGGAUGUACAAGAGAAAUACAUAGUGGUCCAAACAAGAUUUCCAUCUUCUGUGUAGUAUUUUACUCUUUUCCUUCCCUGACCCUUCCCUGCUCAUUCACAGCUACUGCAGUUCUAUAGAGCCUGGUGCCUUACAUCUGACAAAACAUCUUUCUAGUUGAUCACACAAGUGAUUUCAGUGGCUAUGACUCCAAGACAAAGUAAUCAUCAUCAAAUUAACAGUUACCAAAAAGGUAAGAGCAACAUGUUUGUAAGAUUAAAAUAUGAACUUUUACCUCAGUUGUAAUGCUACUGGCAGCUGUAUUUUAAGUAUAUCCAAUUUUCCAGCAAAAGGGUGUAAGCAAAAAUCUUUGGUUAGCAAAGCAGAAACACCACAUUAACUGCGACUUCAUCAACAAAUUUCAGAACAUCAUUUCAGUGAGGUAUACGCCCUUAAAGAGAGCCCAGGUUUCUAAGUUUCAAGCCAACUAGACUUUAAAGUAAGUUCACUUUCAUAGCGUAGAACCAGAACAAACCAUGUCCAAACUACAUAUUCAAAUUUUUAUAAAAAUUAAGGUCUAACAUUUAUUUUACAUCUAGCUUUCCACAUCCAUGUGGGGACAAGGAAUCAAUGUACAUAACUAAGCAGUGCAAAAGUGGUGCCAGUGUGAAGUCACAGAUGCACAAUAAAGUGAUAGUACAAGACUAGAGAAAAUGAAGCUAUGGAUGGUAAGAAUGGAGACCAAAAAAAUCAAACAAGGGAAAAUAUAAAGGAAGAGGGCAGGGAAGAGGAGAGCCGGAUGUUUAAUAAUGCCCUUGUUGCUGCAAAGAUAAACUAAUGGCACAAGACAAUGUUUCUUGUAGAACAAAAAUCCAAUAGCAACGAGUCUUUAUUUAUGUUUAGUCACCUGACAUGAGGAAAGUGUCUGUUGCAUUAAAAUAGUCAAUGUAAAUGGCAGCAUGGCUGAACAAGUCCUUUUCAAUGGUAACGAACAUCCCACAUAGUAAAGUCACUUCAACACAGCCUCAUGACAAUUCCCACAUCAAAACAGUACUUUAUUUUAUAUUUUUUUGCCUCAUGAUUACUCCCACAUUAAGAUCUUUCAGCUGUCAAGUGUACAAGGCGAAGAAAAAGGUUCUCAGUCAGCAAACACAGGUGCACCAGGAAGUAUCUCCACAAUACACCACUUCAGAUCUGCUGGGUCCCAAGUCCAUCCUUGAACGCUGGGCUCCCAGCACCAAGUGUAGCACGCUACUAAGGCUACACUACUAUAUUAGCUUAUUAAUUCUGCAUACAUCAGGCCGAACAAUGUGUCAACCUGCAACAGACUGAGCAUUAUAACUGAAAACGGCAAAAGAUUCACUCUAUUGAACUUUACAUCAUUAUUCGAUGUUAAACAAUGAGGCAAAUCCCAACAGUAUAUACAAAAACCAGCUUUGCUUUUACAAAAGAUUUUGUUUCCCAUAUUGAUUAAUCCAGGCAGCUAACUCAUUGGUUUAUGCAACUUUAUUGAAGAAAAUAAAAUCAAUUACUAGUAGAGCUAUUAGUUGAUCACUCAUCCAUUGACAACUUGCAUCAUUUAUUCAGUGCUAUAUUAAACAGUGUUUUGGAAGACAGAUUAACUAAUAGCUCCAGGCCUCCUAACAAAAUUUAAAUGAAUUACAAAAAUGUUCUUAGACCCUAUUUUGGAAUACAAGGGAUGUUUGACUUCCAAUUUCCAUUCUCUGUAAAACAAGAACUGGUCAUUCAUUUAUUGACAUGCAUAAGAUACAUCACAUUUUCUGUUCUGCUGAUGCUAUAGAUUCAGUACCAAUUCUCCAGACACAUCAGUUAUGAGCAAAAGUAUGUAAUAAAACCUCAGUUCUCUAACACUGGAAGGUUUGGAACAAGAUGGAUGUUGCUACAGCAAUGUUACUUCUUUGACGGGAGAAAAAUGAACAUCCAUCUCCCCUCCCCCCUUCAGGUGAUAUCUUCAGUAUCUGUUAGAGCAGUGAGGAAUGUUUGUUUUUAAAUCUCAUAACCAACUUAGAAUGAAGACAUUGGCCACAUAAUACACAUGCUCCAUUAAAAAAAAAAAUCUGAAUCUUGGGCAAUUGUUCUUGUGUAACUACUUUACAGAUUCUAAAAGCAGUUAUUGUCCAAAGCUGGAAGAA